rfam:Halopiger salifodinae strain CGMCC 1.12284 genome assembly, contig: Ga0079850_12
GGUGGGGUGGCAGAGCGGCCUAACGCGCCUGCCUUGAGAGCAGGUGGCUGUCAAGCCUCAUGGGUUCAAAUCCCAUCCCCACCG